rnacentral:rRNA from 1 species
UACGUAGGCAGCGAGCGUUGUUCGGAAUUACUGGGCGUAAAGAGCGCGUAGGCGGCUCGUUAAGUGAGAAGUGAAAGCUCUGGGCUCAACCCAGAAACCGCUUUUCAUACUGGCAAGCUGGAGUGAUGCAGAGGUGGAUAGAAUUCCCGGUGUAGCGGUGAAAUGCGUUGAUAUCGGGAGGAAUACCCGUGGCGAAGGCGGUCCACUGGGCAUCAACUGACGCUGAGGCGCGAAAGCGUGGGUAGCAAACAGG